rnacentral:rRNA from 1 species
GCAGCAAUGCGCGGGGUAGGGGAGCGUCGUGUACGGGGUGAAGUCGUAGCGGAAGCAGCGGUGGACUUUACACGAGUGAGAAUGCCGGAAUGAGUAGCGAGAAUUAUGUGGGAAUCAUAAUGGCCGAAAAUCUAAGGUUUCCUGGGGAAGGUUCGUCCGCCCAGGGUAAGCCGGGAGCUAAGGCGAGGCCGAGAGGCGUAGUCGAUGCACAUACGGUUGAAAUUCCGUAGCCACCGAACCUUAAGCACACUGACACAUGGAGAUAGCGGGACCCGGGCGUUGGUUGACCCGGGCGUAAGGGACCGAAAUUAUAGUAGGGAAGUCCGCGAUGCUCUGUGGCGAGAAAAGGUGUGUGGUAUGCUAAGGUGCCCGUACCGCAAACCGACACAGGUAGAUGAGGAGAGAAUCCUAAGGCCAAACGGGAGAAGGGUUGUUAAGGAACUCGGCAAAAUGACCCCGUAACUUCGGGAUAAGGGGAGCCUCCUACGGGAAGCCGCAGCGAAUAGGCCCAAGCGACUGUUUACCAAAAACACAGGUCGUCGACGCGGCCG